GCCGACGUAGCUCAGCGGUAGAGCAGCCGAUUCGUAAUCGGCAGGUCGCCAGUUCAAUCCUGGCCGUCGGCUCCA
rnacentral:tRNA from 1 species